rnacentral:lncRNA from 1 species
AAAUUACUAAUGUUUUUCCUAACAAAACAAUAGAAGUUCAAGUAGGAAAGAAAAAAAUCAAAUACCAUACCAACUUGCUUAAACGUUAUGUUUCAAAUGGAAGAAAUAACAAUACUAAUAUUGUUGAUCCCUAGAUUCCGAUAGCAUUAAAUCUCUUUUAAACAAUAAUAGGCAAACUCAAGUUCUUCUAAAAUCUCAAAUACAUGUCGUUACGAAUAGAAUAAGGAAUUUCAAUAACUCCAUACAGUCUUUAAAACAAACAGAAACUAUAAUGAAUAACAACACGAAAACAAUUAACAAAUACAUGGUACAAACAGAAAAUAUCAUCUCUAAUCGUUUGGUACAAAAUACAAUGAUAAAAUUUCGACUUUAUUAUCUCUAUGCACUCAAAUCUCUGUCUAUUACAACAACUACAUUGAAGUAAUUAACUUAAAUAACCACAAUAUAAUCUCUCCAUUUCUAAUAAUUUCUAAUAGUUCCCAAAGAUCUUUGUAAAGAACUGGUCAAUUAUAAAGGCAAAUUCGAAUUAGCAAACACCAUAAGUUACAAAAAUCUUCCAAAAAUAUAUAAAUUAAUCAAACUUCAAAAUACAAUAAUGAACGAUCUCGUAGUAUUCGUUAUCAAGAUGCCGCUCAUGAGGAGGACAACUUUUGAUUAGUUUCACCUAAUACCCUUACCUGUCCAACAUACAAACAAUUAAAUCUUUUCAUACCACUAAAACCGUACCUAUUCCUCUCUCAAUCUAAGUCCCAUUAUACUCUCCUAUCGGAAAUGAAGGAUUGCAAUGAGUACCUGGACAGGAAGUACGUAUGCACCGAUAUACAUACCGCAAAAAUCACUGAAGAUUCCACCUGCGAAGUACUACUGUUGAUAUCGCAUAUGGACCACCUACCACGCGACUGUUCAACCAAGACGAUACACGCUGAAGUCGAAACAUGGAAAUAUGUUUCGAACAACCAAUGGCUCUAUGUGUUGCAACAUCCUACUACUCUGACGAUCAUCCGCGGGGAAGAUAAGGACCACAUGGAAGAUAUUGUCCUUCAACUCAACGAUUGAAGGAACCGUUUAUUGUCACCCAUACAAGCUGGUAUACAAUAAUCUUAUGCGUAAUUGGUGCCAUUCUAUUUCUGAUCAUCUGCGGAAAUUGCUGUCAUUGGCUGGAAUGUUGGAGGUUGCUGAAACGACUAUGCUGCUUUACCAGAAGUUCUAACACGGGGGAAAUAAUACCUCCUGUAAUUAAAAAUUUUGUCAAUUGCAACUUUGACUCUAGCGACCACACGGAACAUCGGGAACAUUCUACAGAAUCGGUUAUAUAUGAGCAAUACGGCGAAACUCAAGUUUCUACAGAACCAACCAUGAAUCAACAUCAGUCGCGAUCAACGUCACCAUCUACAAGCAGAUAUUAUCUCCGAUCCAAUGUGUCUCAACCUCGAAAAAGCACAACACCUUUAUAAUUUAUAAACAUAUAUCUUGAUGACUACAAAGAAAUACUGCUAAUGAAGCUGCAGGAAGGAUGAGAACCACUGGGCAGCAGGUUGCCGGAACUAGAAUGGUACGGGGGAGAAGAGGGUUGGCUCGAUCGACGGCUAUAAAUCAGGAAGGACACGCGAAGCUCGCCGUUCCUCCUGCCUCUAUCAGGACAAACUCCUUCCAGGAGCACGCUUCUACAAAGUAUCGACCGACGGAUAAAGGAAGAAAACUGAACUCCCAGCGGCGCAUUCUUCGUCUACGCGCCGAACGAACGAACAUUCUGUACUCCCUCGAACAUUGAAUUUACGACAAGAAUGCUUAAAACGCUUUCUCCCAUCGUUCGCGACAUCGUUAUCGCGUGCAACUUGACUGACAUCUCGAUCAUGCGAUAUAUACCUGACGACAGAGAAUUCCACGAUUCUGUAACUGUCACCCUUGCAAAUGGAAUUCAAGUAUUAGGUUGUUGUCUAUCGAUCGCCUUGUUGGGGUGCAAUAAUACAUUUAUAUGUAUCAUAAAGCCAAUGUUGAAUACAAUCAUAAAUCUGGA